GACGAACGCUGGCGGCGUGCCUAAUACAUGCAAGUAGAACGCUGAAGGAGGAGCUUGCUUCUCUGGAUGAGUUGCGAACGGGUGAGUAACGCGUAGGUAACCUGCCUGGUAGCGGGGGAUAACUAUUGGAAACGAUAGCUAAUACCGCAUAAUAGUAGAUGUUGCAUGACAUUUGCUUAAAAGGUGCAAUUGCAUCACUACCAGAUGGACCUGCGUUGUAUUAGCUAGUUGGUGGGGUAACGGCUCACCAAGGCGACGAUACAUAGCCGACCUGAGAGGGUGGACGGCCACACUGGGAAUGGGGAACGGCCCAGACUACUACGGGAGGGAGCAGUAGGGAAUCUUCGGCAAUGGACGGAAGGCUGACCGAGCAACGCCGCGUGAGUGAAGAAGGUGUUCGGAUCGUAAAGCUCUGUUGUAAGGGAAGGACGAGUGGGAGAGUGGAAAGUUCACACUGUGACGGUAUCUUACCAGAAAGGGACGGCUAACUACGUG
rnacentral:rRNA from 1 species